UUCCACACUGAGAGCAGCUAAAACGCUUUAUUCCCAUAUGAAUUAACAUGUGAUUCUUUAGGGUUUCUUUACGUGUGAAAGUGUGUCCACACUGAGAGCAGGUGAAAUGCUUUUCUGAGGUGUGAGUUAGCAUAUGCUCAUUAAGUUGUUUUUUUUGUGUGAAACUCUUCCCACACUGAGAGCAGGUAAAAGGCUUUAUUCCAGCAUGAAUUAACAUGUGAUUCUUCAGGCUUCCUCUACGAGACAAAGUCUUUCCACACUGAGAGCAGGUGAAAUGCUUUUCUGAGGUGUGAGUUAGCAUAUGCUCAUUAAGUUGUUUUUUUUGUGUGAAACUCUUCCCACACUGAGAGCAGGUAAAAGGCUUUAUUCCAGCAUGAAUUAACAUGUGAUUCUUCAGGCUUCCUCUACGAGACAAAGUCUUUCCACACUGAGAGCAGGUGAAAGACUUUUCUGAGGUGUGAGUUAGCAUAUGCUCAUUAAGUUGUUUUUUCUGUGUAAAACUCAUUUCACACUGAGAGCAGACGAAAGGCUUUAUUCCAGCAUGAAUUAACAUGUGAUUCUUCAGACUUUCUCUACGCGACAAAGACUUUCCACACUGAGAGCAGGUGAAAGGCUUUUCUGAAGUGUGAGUUAGCAUAUGGUCAUUCAGAUGUCUUUUCUGCAUGAAACUCUUUCCACACUGAGAGCAGCUGAAAGGCUUUAUUCCAGUAUGAAUUUUCAUGUGAUUCUUCAGGCUUUCUUUGCGUGUGAAAGUAUUUCCACAUUCAGAGCAGGUGAAAGGCCUUUUUCCAGCAUGAACAAUCAUCAUG